rnacentral:rRNA from 1 species
UCCUACGGGAGGCAGCAGUGGGGAAUAUUGGACAAUGGGCGCAAGCCUGAUCCAGCAAUGCCGCGUGUGUGAAGAAGGCCUGCGGGUUGUAAAGCACUUUAAGCAGGGAGGACGAGAUGCGGGGCUAAUACCCUUGGACAUGACGUACCGCAGAU